UAAUAUUUUAUUAAAUGUGUGAAUAAAACAAGUUGUAAUUUUAUAGACACUAUGUACUUCACAUUGGCACUUUUAUGGUUAUGUUUCAGAAUUAUUCAUGGAGAAAUAAUUCAAUGUCCUAUUGGUGGAUUAGAUGAUGACGAACAAUGCGAAAAAUUAAUUAAAGAAAAUGUGAUGAAUCUAUAUUAUAUGAGUAAGUUAU